GACGAACGCUGGCGGCGUGCUUAACACAUGCAAGUCGAACGGAAAGGCCCUGCUUGCAGGGUACUCGAGUGGCGAACGGGUGAGUAACACGUGGGUGAUCUGCCCUGCACUUCGGGAUAAGCUUGGGAAACUGGGUCUAAUACCGGAUAGGAGCCAUCUUUAGUGUGGGGGUGGGAAGGUUUUUUCGGUGUAGGAUGAGCUCGCGGCCUAUCAGCUUGUUGGUGGGGUAAUGGCCUACCAAGGCGGCGACGGGUAGCCGGCCUGAGAGGGUGUACGGCCACAUUGGGACUGAGAUACGGCCCAGACUCCUACGGGAGGCAGCAGUGGGGAAUAUUGCACAAUGGGCGCAAGCCUGAUGCAGCGACGCCGCGUGGGGGAUGAAGGCCUUCGGGUUGUAAACUCCUUUCGCUAGGGACGAAGCUUUUUGUGACGGUACCUAGAUAAGAAGCACCGGCUAACUACGUG
rnacentral:rRNA from 1 species